CCAUAUCCCUCAAGUCUUUCAGGACCCUUUAUUGCCUGUACAGUUUUCCUGGUUUGAUAAGACUCAGAUCCUACUCAUUUACCCUGCCUUGCCAUCAUGAAGAUGCAGUUUCACCAUGCUUGUGUCUGUAUUGUUUCUCCUGUGCAGCACAUCCUUCCCCAGGAACACAGGAUGGGAGAUGAACAAAAUACAAAAUACUGCCUCUGAGACAAGAUGAAAAAAAAGUUCAGGAGAUAAAUUUUAAGAGAUUAUUAAUUUUUACUUCUACAAGAAAGUUUCAUUAGCAAGAAAUAUUUUGUUAUUGUUUAAGAAGAAAUAAAAGUUUACUUUGAACAUGAAAAUGGAAACAUUAAAGGCAUAUAAAUAUUGGGUA